ACCAUAAAAACCUACGGCCAUAGUCUAAACCAAAACCAAAUAAAGUUACAAGCUAAAUUAAUUAAAUUUGUUGUGCCAAAUCCACUGGGUUUCGGCGUCCAGAUACCUGGAGACGAAAGUACGGGAAAUCUACGGCAAGAAGCUAUCCAAAACCAAGCGAGAAAAAGCCAGAAGUUACGGCGAGAGAGCAGCGGUGCUCCAAGAGAGAAGAGGAAGAACCAGUUUUCGACAUCGCGAGCAGCUGAGACGACGGCGUUAGAGCGCUGCUACUUUAAGCCCGGUUUUUUCGGUCCGCGAGUGCGCUAAAGGCCGUUGGGAUGUUUGGGGGAGCCUAAGGGCCUAUGAGGAUGCAGUGAGGCAGAUUUGUGGCGGAGCAGAA